CGUGCCAGCAGCCGCGGUAAUACGGAGGGUGCAAGCGUUAUCCGGAUUUAUUGGGUUUAAAGGGUGCGUAGGCGGAAUAGUAAGUCAGUGGUGAAAUCCUGCGGCUCAACCGUAGAACUGCCAUUGAUACUGUUAUUCUUGAAUGUAGUUGAGGUAGGCGGAAUGUGUAAUGUAGCGGUGAAAUGCUUAGAUAUUACACAGAACACCGAUUGCGAAGGCAGCUUGCUAAGCUACGAUUGACGCUGAUGCACGAAAGCGUGGGGAGCGAACAGGAUUAGAUACCCUGGUAGUCCACGCUGUAACCUAUGAUCACUCGUUGUUUGCGAUAUACAGUAAGCGACUGAGCGAAAGCAUUAAGUGAUCCACCUGGGGAGUACGUUGGCAACAAUGAAACUCAAAGGAAUUGACGGGGGCCCGCACAAGCGGAGGAACAUGUGGUUUAAUUCGAUGAUACGCGAGGAACCUUACCUGGGUUUAAAUGUAGGUUGCAUAGAGGGGAAACUCUCUUUUCCUUCGGGACUACCUACAAGGUGCUGCAUGGUUGUCGUCAGCUCGUGCCGUGAGGUGUCGGGUUAAGUCCCAUAACGAGCGCAACCCUUAUCGUUAGUUGCCAUCAGGUCAUGCUGGGGACUCUAACGAGACUGCCGGUGUAAACCGUGAGGAAGGUGGGGAUGACGUCAAAUCAGCACGGCCCUUAUAUCCAGGGCUACACACGUGUUACAAUGGUCGGUACAAAGAGCAGCCACUUGGCGACAAGGCGCUAAUCUCGAAAGCCGAUCACAGUUCGGAUCGGAGUCUGCAACUCGACUUCGUGAAGUUGGAU
rnacentral:rRNA from 1 species